UAGAUCAAAUAUGCAAAUCCUUAGAAAAUUUGAAAAUCAUUUAAUACUUCAUUUCAUUAAUUUAAAUUGACGGAUAAUCAUAAAACUAUUUUAUACAUUUCAAAUGAAAUGAAGUAUCAAAUGAUUUCAAAAUUAUUAAAAAUUUACAGAUUUAAUCUA
rnacentral:miRNA from 1 species